rnacentral:rRNA from 1 species
GAUGAACGCUGGCGGCGUGCUUAACACAUGCAAGUCGAACGAACCUUCGGGUUAGUGGCGGACGGGUGAGUAACGCGUGAGAAUCUGCCCUCAGGAGGGGGAUAACGGUUGGAAACGACCGCUAAUACCCCAUAUGCCGAUAGGUGAAAUGAAUUUCGCCUGAGGAUGAGCUCGCGUCUGAUUAGCUUGUUGGUGAGGUAAUGGCUCACCAAGGCUUCGAUCAGUAGCUGGUCUGAGAGGAUGAUCAGCCACACUGGGACUGAGACACGGCCCAGACUCCUACGGGAGGCAGCAGUGGGGAAUUUUCCGCAAUGGGCGAAAGCCUGACGGAGCAACGCCGCGUGAGGGACGAAGGCCUCUGGGCUGUAAACCUCUUUUCUCAAGGAAGAAGAUAUGACGGUACUUGAGGAAUAAGCCACGGCUAAUUCCGUGCCAGCAGCCGCGGUAAUACGGGAGUGGCAAGCGUUAUCCGGAAUUAUUGGGCGUAAAGCGUCCGCAGGCGGCCUUUCAAGUCUGCUGUUAAAGCGUGGAGCUUAACUCCAUUAUGGCAGUGGAAACUGAUCGGCUUGAGUAUGGUAGGGGCAGAGGGAAUUCCCGGUGUAGCGGUGAAAUGCGUAGAUAUCGGGAAGAACACCAGUGGCGAAGGCGCUCUGCUGGGCCAUUACUGACGCUCAUGGACGAAAGCCAGGGGAGCGAAAGGGAUUAGAUACCCCUGUAGUCCUGGCCGUAAACGAUGAACACUAGGUGUCGGGGGAAUCGACCCCUUCGGUGUCGUAGCUAACGCAUUAAGGGUUCCGCCUGGGGAGUACGCACGCAGGUGUGAAACUCAAAGGAAUUGACGGGGGCCCGCACAAGCGGUGGAGUAUGUGGUUUAAUUNGAUGCAACGCGAAGAACCUUACCAGGGUUUGACAUCCUGAGAACCUCUUAGAAAUUUGAGGGUGCCUUCGGGAAUUCAGUGACAGGUGGUGCAUGGCUGUCGUCAGCUCGUGUCGUGAGAUGUUGGGUUAAGUCCCGCAACGAGCGCAACCCACGUUUUUAGUUGCCAGCAUUUAGUUGGGCACUCUAGAAAGACCGCCGGUGAUAAACCGGAGGAAGGUGUGGAUGACGUCAAGUCAUCAUGCCCCUUACACCCUGGGCUACACACGUACUACAAUGCUACGGACAAAGGGCAGCAAACUCGCGAGAGCUAGCAAAUCCCAUAAACCGUGGCUCAGUUCAGAUCGUAGGCUGCAACUCGCCUACGUGAAGUAGGAAUCGCUAGUAAUCGCAGGUCAGCAUACUGCGGUGAAUACGUUCCCGGGCCUUGCACUCACCGCCCGUC